rnacentral:rRNA from 1 species
GAUGAACGCUGGCGGCGUGCCUAACACAUGCAAGUCGAGCGAACGGACGAGAAGCUUGCUUCUCUGAUGUUAGCGGCGGACGGGUGAGUAACACGUGGAUAACCUACCUAUAAGACUGGGAUAACUUCGGGAAACCGGAGCUAAUACCGGAUGAUAUUUUGAACUGCAUGGUUCAAAAGUGAAAGACGGUCUUGCUGUCACUUAUAGAUGGAUCCGCGCUGCAUUAGCUAGUUGGUAAGGUAACGGCUUACCAAGGCAACGAUGCAUAGCCGACCUGAGAGGGUGAUCGGCCACACUGGAACUGAGACACGGUCCAGACUCCUACGGGAGGCAGCAGUAGGGAAUCUUCCGCAAUGGGCGAAAGCCUGACGGAGCAACGCCGCGUGAGUGAUGAAGGUCUUCGGAUCGUAAAACUCUGUUAUUAGGGAAGAACAUAUGUGUAAGUAACUGUGCACAUCUUGACGGUACCUAAUCAGAAAGCCACGGCUAACUACGUG